GCGGGAGUAAUUCAGCGGUAGAAUGCCAGCUUCCCAAGCUUGACGUCGCGGGUUCGAUUCCCGCCUCCCGCUCCA
rnacentral:tRNA from 1 species